CUGAAGACGAUCUGAGCGACGAUGAAAGUGGCAUGAUAAGACUGAAUAAUAUCCCUAAUCUACAACUGAGCGAAGAUGAAGACGAGGAAGAAUGUAUCGGACUGGCGUCAGACGAGUUGGACCGUAAGAUAUCAGAGGCUAUAUCGAUAGUAACAUUUGAUGGGGAUAUAGAUAGAGAAAUGGGGAAAAUCCGUAACUUUGACUGUAAAUGUUACACGAGGAGAAAAGAGAACUCUCUGCAUGGGAGACAGUCUUGUAGCCAGAAGCUUUCUCCAGACAUUAUGUACAACAUACGGCUGGAUUCUUUAGCUGCGGAAAAAGAGUGUCAGGACAUGCUAAUUAUUGGACAUUUAGAGGCAAACAGACGCACAGUGCAAACUUCGGAGAUGGUUACAUCCACAAAGAAGACCCCGACAAAGAGAAAGUGUGCCCGAACGACUUAUUUCAUUGGAGGCAACGAGAUCUGCAAGAAUACUUUUCUGUUUCUUAUGGGGUCUAACCACUAACUGAGGUCUAAACCAGGACUAAAACAAGACUAAACCAGGAAGUACAGAUACAAGCUCUAAACAUUGGCAGAGACACCCUGGCUGAUAUAGUCAAACACUAUGAGGAGAAUGGGGCAAGACCACGUUUGAGGAAGAAGCACUCAUUGCCACGUCCACCAGCCAGGUUCAUCAGCCCUGAGGAUAUCAACAGAGUUGUGGACUUCAUAAAACACUAUGCAGAAGACAAUGCCAUCAUGCUGCCUGGCCG